UACGGGGGGGGCAAGCGUUGUUCGGAAUUACUGGGCGUAAAGGGCUCGUAGGUGGCCAACUAAGUCAGACGUGAAAUCCCUCGGCUUAACCGGGGAACUGCGUCUGAUACUGGAUGGCUAGAGAUUGGGAGAGGGAUGCGGAAUUCCAGGUGUAGCGGUGAAAUGCGUAGAUAUCUGGAGGAACACCGGUGGCGAAGGCGGCAUUCUGGACCGAUAUUGACGCUGAGGAGCGAAAGCCAGGGGAGCAAACGGG
rnacentral:rRNA from 1 species